CCUUCUUGAUUGCGUAGCAGUAGACGCGUCUGAGGCUUUGGGUUUGGGGUCUGAGUCGCUGUCUCUCGUCGGUCGUCGGAGGAGGCGGCGGCGGGUACAGUCCUCCUCCCUAGCGCGCCCCGGCGGAGCGCCUCCUCGCGUUCCGGACCGCGUUCUUGGUGGGGGUACCUAAGCAGCGCUUCGGCCUCUGCCACCGGCUGCCCAGCCACUUAGAGUACUAGACCUUGACGUGGUAGGGGCCUUUCGUCCCCUGACUAACCCUUUCACCUAUGAUGGGUGAAUGAGAGGUAAAGUCACUCCUGAUGGGAUCGUUUGGAGGGUUCACGUUCAAGGGCGUCCCAAAAAAGGUGGGUUUACAGAUAGGAAGUCCCUGCCAGACGGAGAGCUAAGAAUUACUCCUAUCACCAACCUCUGGACGGUAGUGACAAUUCGUCUAAGAUCAACCUUAUGUCCUAAACGAACUAGUUGGAUUAGGUCGACUAGGACGGGUCUGACUACCAAUAGUGGAGAAAUAGGUCCUAGGUCGUCUCAUGUUCUCUGCGUAAGCCGACGUCCGGUUCGUCAUGGGACGAGACCAAACUCCUAGGUACAUCGUCAGAUUUUAGUAUUUAAUGGCGUGGACUUUUAUACUUCAAACUGAUUUAUAUUGGCUUUCGCCCCAUAACACCUCUCGAAAGGUAACACUGGCACCUGUAAACACUGCACACCAGACCACAACUGGUUUGUUUUUAGUCCAGGAAGACGAACUUACUACCUACACACCUAUGAAAACUUGAACUGAGGAACUAACACAGAAGACAACUAAAAAAAACACCAAAGCCACUAGAGAAGUUUUUAUUAAACUACACUCGUCAUCGAAGGAAAAUUUUCUUCUCCAUUUUCUUCACCCAUUCCGUUGGGUCAACUUGGGAU
rnacentral:rRNA from 1 species